GACGAACGCUGGCGGCGUGCCUAAUACAUGCAAGUAGAACGCUGAAGAGAGGAGCUUGCUCUUCUUGGAUGAGUUGCGAACGGGUGAGUAACGCGUAGGUAACCUGCCUGGUAGCGGGGGAUAACUAUUGGAAACGAUAGCUAAUACCGCAUGAUAUUAAUUGUCGCAUGAUAAUUAAUUGAAAGAUGCAAUUGCAUCACUACCAGAUGGACCUGCGUUGUAUUAGCUAGUUGGUGAGGUAACGGCUCACCAAGGCGACGAUACAUAGCCGACCUGAGAGGGUGAUCGGCCACACUGGGACUGAGACACGGCCCAGACUCCUACGGGAGGCAGCAGUAGGGAAUCUUCGGCAAUGGGGGGAACCCUGACCGAGCAACGCCGCGUGAGUGAAGAAGGUUUUCGGAUCGUAAAGCUCUGUUGUAAGAGAAGAACGGGUGUGAGAGUGGAAAGUUCACACUGUGACGGUAUCUUACCAGAAAGGACGG
rnacentral:rRNA from 1 species